ACCAGUACAGACAUGGACGAGGGACUGGGGGAUACUGGGAUCUACUGGGAGCUCCUCCCACCCCAAGAUCAUCCCGAGAAUGCAAAUCCUGGGCAAGAAGGGGCUGAUUGUUGUGGCCACGGCCAUUGUCCUGCAGCUGCAGGGCCCUGUGGGGCUGGGGAGUGACAGGGACCGGGCUGGGAAUUCUGUCACUCCGGGCUGGGAAUAGAGGCUGGGAAUUCUGUCAUCCUGGGCUGGGAAUUCUGUCACUCUGGGCUGGGAAUAGAGGCUGGGAAUUCUGUCAUUUCAGGAUGGGAAUAGAGGCUGGGAAUUCUGUCACUCCAGGCUGGGAAUUCUGUCACUCUGGGCUGGGAAUGUAGGUGGGAAUUCUGUCAUUCCAGACUGGGAAUUCUGUCAUCCUGGGCUGGGAAUAGAGGCUGGGAAUUCUGUCACUCCGGGGUGGGAAUAGAGGCUGGGAAUUCUGUCACUCCGGGGUGGGAAUUCUGUCACUCUGAGCUGGGAAUGCAGGUGGGAAUUCUGUCAUUCCAGGCUGGGAAUACACCUGGGAAUUCUGUCAUUUCAGGAUGGGAAUACAGGUGGGAAUUCUAUCAUACUGGGCUCGGAAUAUAGCUGGGAAUUCUGUCAUUCCAAGCUGGAAAUAGUGGCUGGGAAUUCUGUCAUUUCAGGAUGGGAAUUCUGUCAUUCCAGACUGGGAAUAAGGGCUGGGAAUUCUGUCACUCUGGGCUGAGAAUGCAGGUGGGAAUUCUGUCACACUGGGCUGGGAAUACAGCUGGGAAUUCUUUCAUUCCAGGCUCAGAACACAUGUGGGAAUUCUGUCAUUCCAGGCUGGGAAUAUGGGCUGGGAAUUCUGUCAUUUCAGGAUGGGAAUACAGGUGGGAAUCCUGUCAUUCCAGACUGAGAAUUCUGCCACUGGGCUGGGAAUACAGCUGGGAAUUCUGUCACUCCAGGCUGGAAAUACAGGUGGGAAUUUUGUCAUUCCAGGCUGGGAAUAUGGGCUGGGAAUUCUGUUAUUUCAGGAUGGGAAUACAGGUGGGAAUCCUGUCAUUCCAGACUGGGAAUCCUGUCAUUCCAGGCUGGGAAUGUGGGCUGGGAAUUCUGUCACUCCAAGCUGGGAAUUCACUCAUUCUAGGCUGGGAAUACAGCUGGGAAUUCUGUCACUCCAGGCCAGGAAUACAAUCUGAGUGUGCAGGGCAGUCCCAGGAUGAGGUUAAGUAUAUGUGACCUGUCCACUUUGGUCAAAAUCCACAGUUUUGUCCUGGAUUGAUGGGAUGUGACACAUCCUGACACCAUUCCAUUGUCAUCCCUAUUUACUGGGGAUGUCAGGACUUCAUAUAAUAAACAGGACUUCAUAUAAUAAAUACA
rnacentral:lncRNA from 1 species